UGUCAAUAAAUAUAUAAUAAAAACAAAGAUGCUUAAAACUAGUUAACAACGGUGGUCUGUUUUACUAUUGACAACAGAGCUCAUAAACUUAAAUAUUUUUAUAAAAUGGUAAACGAACGUUCAGGUACAAUAGAACAAUUGCGACAAUGGAAUUCAUUUAACCCCUGUGGGCUCCAGGUACUGUUUUCUGGAAGAAUAGUGGCAGCAGACAUUGGGCUGGAUCGUUGUCAAUAUUAUCAUUUAGAAUUCCUACAGGAGAGAGAAUGCGCUCGAAAAGUUUACCCACGUUUGACAGUAAAGAAAUUGGACGAAAAUCUGCUGCAGUUUCGCUGUUUGGUUUCUUCUUGAUUGGAACAAUUUUAGCUAUUUUCCAAUCUUCGGGAAAGUAACCGUUAUUAAUACAAUUGUUGUAUAGUGACAAUUCGUGAAGUGAAAGUUGUCUGUAUUUUCAAGAGCAGUAUGCAGGAAGAUAUUUUUUCAUCAAGAUCACGAACAAGCCUCUCCGGAAUUGUUUUGCGGAAGGAAGAUGAAUAGAAAAUUUUGAAUUGCUCAGCAAUAUCAUUGCUAGUUGUGAAAAUAUUAUUAUUCUGUUGCAGAUGUUGGCAAAUGCCAACUUUUGAUGCAGACGAACCAGUUGAAGUUGCUUAGGAAGAACUUUGUACUCACUGCUGAGACGAUUUCCAGAGCGAUGAUUUAUUUAUGGGAGGCAUUAUCUGACGAGAUGCAGCAUCUAGAUCAUUACGGAAGUUAUCCCAAUUGGUAUUCUUUUUCAACGAAGAAAUUUGAAAUUGUUCCAUCGAUAAAGUUGGUGCUAAGGAGAAAAUGGUCUAAAAAAGAAUUCCCAUUUGGAUAUGAGUCACAAAACCUGGCGACGUCCAUUGCAUUAUCUUCCAGCCACUUUGACAGUACAUUCCCAUUUGUAUUAUUAAGAGUGUCGCCCGAAGCCAAAUUUCUAGCAUUCAGAUCUCCACCUAAUAUAAAGCCAUCAAAAUUACAACAUAACUGUGACAAUUUGCUCAAGUCAGCCUCCAGUCUUUGAGGCGAGUAUCUGCAUGGGAUGUAGACAAAUGCAAUCCGAGUGUAUUUAUAUGAUUUUUUAACCACAACAGCAGUACCGACCUGAGAGUUGUCGUAAAUAAAGAAGUACCCAUUUAUUUUAA